rnacentral:rRNA from 1 species
UACGGAGGAUCCGAGCGUUAUCCGGAUUUAUUGGGUUUAAAGGGAGCGUAGGCGGACUAUUAAGUCAGCUGUGAAAGUUUGCGGCUCAACCGUAAAAUUGCAGUUGAUACUGGUCGUCUUGAGUGCAGUAGAGGUAGGCGGAAUUCGUGGUGUAGCGGUGAAAUGCUUAGAUAUCACGAAGAACUCCGAUUGCGAAGGCAGCUUACUGGACUGUAACUGACGCUGAUGCUCGAAAGUGUGGGUAUCAAACAGGAUUAGAUACC